UACGUAGGGUGCGAGCGUUAAUCGGAAUUACUGGGCGUAAAGCGUGCGCAGGCGGUUUUGUAAGCCAGAUGUGAAAGCCCCGGGCUUAACCUGGGAAUGGCAUUUGGGACUGCAAGGCUGGAGUGUGGCAGAGGAGACUGGAAUUCCUGGUGUAGCAGUGAAAUGCGUAGAUAUCAGGAGGAAUACCGAUGGCGAAGGCAGGUCUGCUGGCUGACACUGACGCUCAUGCACGAAAGCGUGGGGAGCAAACAGG
rnacentral:rRNA from 1 species